UACGGAGGGUGCAAGCGUUAUCCGGAUUCACUGGGUUUAAAGGGUGCGUAGGUGGGCAGGUAAGUCAGUGGUGAAAUCUCCGGGCUUAACUCGGAAACUGCCAUUGAUACUAUCUGUCUUGAAUACCGUGGAGGUUAGCGGAAUAUGUCAUGUAGCGGUGAAAUGCUUAGAUAUGACAUAGAACACCAAUUGCGAAGGCAGCUGGCUACACGAAUAUUGACACUGAUGCACGAAAGCGUGGGGAUCAAAACAGG
rnacentral:rRNA from 1 species